GGAUUCCCUCGGAGACCCCUUCUACUCGGCUUCCCACAAACUCAGUUUGAUUCCAGAUUUAAUCAUUCAGCAACUCCCAGUUCCCAUCCUCUCUUCCGGGGCCCAUAAAUCGAGACCUACUGAUCCAGCAACCACAACAUGAGCCCAACAUGCUAAAGUUACUGAGCUAAUGACAUCAGAGGCCUCUGACCAGGACAUCAGCCCAGAAAGCUUGAAGAAACUCUGGCCAACACUAGAGAAACUGGAAUUGUCUGUCUGCAGGCCUGGGAAGAAAGCACUUCAUUGGUUUGCAUUCUCUUUACAUUGAGUGGGUUAUCUUUGUAACCAUAAGGGGUAAAAAUAGAAUAAAAUAUUGCCUCUAUGAAGUCAAUGGAAUUUUGCCUCUGACUUUACUGAAGGCAAGAUUUCA